AUCGACCGCUGGCGGCAGGCCUAACACAUGCAAGUCGAACGAGUGGCGGACGGGUGAGUAAUGCCUAGGAAACUGCCCUCUGAAAGGGGAUAACUACUGGAAACGGUAUCUCAUAACCCAUACCAUCGGAUUUGCCCAGAUGGGAUUAGCUAGUAGGCGGGGUAACGGCUAACCUAGGCGACGAUCCCUAGCUGUUCUGAGAGGAUGAACGGCCACACUGGAACUGAAGCACGGUCCAGACUCCUACGGGAGGCAGCAGUGGGGAAUAUUGCACAAUGGGCGCAAGUCUGAUGAAGCCAUGCCGCGUGUAUGAAGAAGGCCUUCGGGUUGUAAAGUACUUUCAGCGAGGAGGAGUUACUCGCAGAAGAAGGACCGGGUAACUCAGUGCCAGGCGCCGCGGUAAUUC
rnacentral:rRNA from 1 species